AAGCUUCCUUCUUUUAUGGAGAGUUUGAUCCUGGCUCAGGAUGAACGCUGGCGGCGUGCCUAAUACAUGCAAGUCGAGCG
rnacentral:rRNA from 1 species